UUCCACCCAUUCCAAUCGGUGUCUUCACUUGUUUUUUAGAUAUAUUUAUCGAAGUGUAAGUCAUAUUUGAUCAUCUCUAAUAUGCUAGUUGGGAUUUAUUGCCAAUUGGCUGGCCAAAUUAAAAUAUAAAUAAACGAUAAAGGUUCCUAAUAAUAAGAAAAUGAAAGAAAAAUAUUUUGGUUUUGUUUUUUCUUAGCGAAACUGUAAACAAAGGAUGAAAGAAUUGUCAACGAAAACUCUAACAGCCGGUGCGAACAGCUUACAGCACACAAUCCCAAAACUCGUUUUCAAAGUAUUUUCGUUGUCGGUCCGAACAUGGUAUAACAUUAUCUUAUGCAAAUUCGCCUUGCUAGUGAUAAAUAUCUGUAAAGAAACAAAGCUCCUGUGUGGUGUAUUCAAUAUUCAUUUUUUGGUGAAUUCUUUGGACAAUUGUCAAUUGCCCACAGAAAUUAUCAGGAAUUGCGGAAAGAGAUAUCCAGCUUAUAGGCAGAGUCAGCAGCAUACGUGGCGAUUUUCGGG